rnacentral:rRNA from 1 species
CCCUUAGAUGUUCUGGGCCGCACGCGCGCUACACUGACGAAUGCAACGAGCUUAUAACCUUGGCCGAAAGGUCUGGGUAAUCUCCAAAUUUCGUCGUGAUGGGGAUAGAUUAUUGCAAUUAUUAAUCUUCAACGAGGAAUGCCUAGUAAGCGCAAGUCAUCAGCUUGCGUUGAUUACGUCCCUGCCUUUUGUACACACCGCCCGUCGCUCCUACCGAUUGAAUGGUCCGGUGAAGCGCUCGGACCGCGGCCUCUUGACGGUUCGCUGUCGAUUGGCUGUGGGAAGUUCGUUAAACCUUAUCAUUUAGAGGAAGGAGAAGUCGUAACA